GAUGAACGCUGGCGGCGUGCCUAAUACAUGCAAGUCGAGCGAACGGACGAGAAGCUUGCUUCUCUGAUGUUAGCGGCGGACGGGUGAGUAACACGUGGAUAACCUACCUAUAAGACUGGGAUAACUUCGGGAAACCGGAGCUAAUACCGGAUAAUAUUUUGAACCGCAUGGUUCAAAAGUGAAAGACGGUCUUGCUGUCACUUAUAGAUGGAUCCGCGCUGCACUAGCUAGUUGGUAAGGUAACGGCUUACCAAGGCAACGAUGCAUAGCCGACCUGAGAGGGUGAUCGGCCACACUGGAACUGAGACACGGUCCAGACUCCUACGGGAGGCAGCAGUAGGGAAUCUUCCGCAAUGGGCGAAAGCCUGACGGAGCAACGCCGCGUGAGUGAUGAAGGUCUUUGGAUCGUAAAACUCUGUUAUUAGGGAAGAACAUAUGUGUAAGUAACUGUGCACAUCUUGACGGUACCUAAUCAGAAAGCCACGGCUAACUACGUGCCAGCAGCCGCGGUAAUACGUAGGUGGCAAGCGUUAUCCGGAAUUAUUGGGCGUAAAGCGCGCGUAGGCGGUUUUUUAAGUCUGAUGUGAAAGCCCACGGCUCAACCGUGGAGGGUCAUUGGAAACUGGAAAACUUGAGUGCAGAAGAGGAAAGUGGAAUUCCAUGUGUAGCGGUGAAAUGCGCAGAGAUAUGGAGGAACACCAGUGGCGAAGGCGACUUUCUGGUCUGUAACUGACGCUGAUGUGCGAAAGCGUGGGGAUCAAACAGGAUUAGAUACCCUGGUAGUCCACGCCGUAAACGAUGAGUGCUAAGUGUUAGGGGGUUUCCGCCCCUUAGUGCUGCAGCUAACGCAUUAAGCACUCCGCCUGGGGAGUACGACCGCAAGGUUGAAACUCAAAGGAAUUGACGGGGACCCGCACAAGCGGUGGAGCAUGUGGUUUAAUUCGAAGCAACGCGAAGAACCUUACCAAAUCUUGACAUCCUUUGACAACUCUAGAGAUAGAGCUUUCCCCUUCGGGGGACAAAGUGACAGGUGGUGCAUGGUUGUCGUCAGCUCGUGUCGUGAGAUGUUGGGUUAAGUCCCGCAACGAGCGCAACCCUUAAGCUUAGUUGCCAUCAUUAAGUUGGGCACUCUAAGUUGACUGCCGGUGACAAACCGGAGGAAGGUGGGGAUGACGUCAAAUCAUCAUGCCCCUUAUGAUUUGGGCUACACACGUGCUACAAUGGACAAUACAAAGGGCAGCGAAACCGCGAGGUCAAGCAAAUCCCAUAAAGUUGUUCUCAGUUCGGAUUGUAGUCUGCAACUCGACUACAUGAAGCUGGAAUCGCUAGUAAUCGUAGAUCAACAUGCUACGGUGAAUACGUUCCCGGGUCU
rnacentral:rRNA from 1 species